rnacentral:miRNA from 1 species
GAACUUGCAUGCAUCUUCGGAGACUGGGCUUUCUGAAACAUGUUUCAGAAAGCCCAGUCUCCGAAGAUGCAUGCAAGUUC